rnacentral:rRNA from 1 species
CGGAAGAACAGCAGCUCUAAUACAGUUUGCGAAUGACGGUCCUGAAGAAUAAGCACCGGCUAACUACGUGCCAGCAGCCGCGGUAAUACGUAGGGUGCAAGCGUUAAUCGGAAUUACUGGGCGUAAAGCGUGCGCAGGCGGUUAUGUAAGACAGGCGUGAAAUCCCCGGGCUUAACCUGGGAAUUGCGCUUGUGACAGCAUAGCUAGAGUGUGUCAGAGGGGGGUAGAAUUCCACGUGUAGCAGUGAAAUGCGUAGAUAUGUGGAGGAAUACCAAUGGCGAAGGCAGCCCCCUGGGAUAACACUGACGCUCAUGCACGAAAGCGUGGGGAGCAAACAGGAUUAGAUACCCUGGUAGUCCACGCCCUAAACGAUGCUGACUAGUUGUUCGGGAAUUUAUUCCUGAGUAACGUAGCUAACGCGUGAAGUCA